GGGUUGUGAGGUUAAGCGACUAAGCGUACACGGUGGAUGCCCUGGCAGUCAGAGGCGAUGAAGGACGUGCUAAUCUGCGAUAAGCGUCGGUAAGGUGAUAUGAACCGUUAUAACCGGCGAUUUCCGAAUGGGGAAACCCAGUGUGUUUCGACACACUAUCAUUAACUGAAUCCAUAGGUUAAUGAGGCGAACCGGGGGAACUGAAACAUCUAAGUACCCCGAGGAAAAGAAAUCAACCGAGAUUCCCCCAGUAGCGGCGAGCGAACGGGGAGCAGCCCAGAGCCUGAAUCAGUGUGUGUGUUAGUGGAAGCGUCUGGAAAGGCGCGCGAUACAGGGUGACAGCCCCGUACACAAAAAUGCACAUGCUGUGAGCUCGAUGAGUAGGGCGGGACACGUGGUAUCCUGUCUGAAUAUGGGGGGACCAUCCUCCAAGGCUAAAUACUCCUGACUGACCGAUAGUGAACCAGUACCGUGAGGGAAAGGCGAAAAGAACCCCGGCGAGGGGAGUGAAAAAGAACCUGAAACCGUGUACGUACAAGCAGUGG
rnacentral:rRNA from 1 species